ensembl:snRNA U6 U6 spliceosomal RNA
GCGCUCAUCUGGCAGCACAUAUACUCAAACCGGAAUGAUCUGGAGAAGAUUAGCGUGGCCCUUGUGCAAGGACGACACAUAAAUUCGUGAAGUGUUCCAUAUUUUG